GAAUUUUGGACAAUGGGCGAAAGCCUGAUCCAGCAAUGCCGCGUGCAGGAUGAAGGCCUUCGGGUUGUAAACUGCUUUUGUACGGAACGAAAAGCUUUGGGUUAAUACCCUGGAGUCAUGACGGUACCGUACGACUAAGCACCGGCCAACUCCGUGCCAGCAGCCGCGGUAAUACGCAGGGGGCAAGCGUUAAUCGGAAUCACUGGGCGUAAAGCGUGCGUAGGCGGUUUAGUAAGACAGCGGUGAAAGCCCCGAGCUCAACCUGGGAACUGCCUUUGUGACUGCAAGGCUAGAGUACGGCAGAGGGGGGUGGAAUUCCGCGUGUAGCAGUGAAAUGCGUAGAUAUGCGGAAGAACACCGAUGGCGAAGGCAACCCCCUGGGCCUGUACUGACGCUCAUGCACGAAAGCGUGGGGAGCAAAC
rnacentral:rRNA from 1 species